rnacentral:lncRNA from 1 species
UUCCAUUUUUAUUAAAGUUGUCUUUUUCUAAGAAACAUAUUACACUUAAAGUUCAAUACCAUAAAUAUUCUUAAAUCUUCUAUUUUAGUUAUUAAAAAUGUAAACACAAAAGAAAACAACCACUCCCUCCCCAUCCCCAAUCUAAUAUAUAUUUAAAAAAUAUUCUUCCUCUCAGGUAAGUUCUUUUCUUCAGAAUGAGUAACACAGACUUCAUUAAAAUCUUGUUAGUCCUCCUGGGCUGCAAGGACAUGGCAGGAAUGACGAGUGUCCACUGUGACUGAGGCCUGUCUCCUCCUGCCAUGACCACUCAUGUGCCCCGAGAGACAGGCUCCUCUCUGUCCAUUUAGUGUCCAAGGACAUGGACAGUGGUAAGGCACCGAGCACAGACACUGUGACGAACACAGCACGCAGGAUGGCAUAUGCUCCUGGAGGCAGACCACAGCCAGCACAGACAGCAAUUCUGGAUGAGUGUUAUAGUCACAGGCUAUAGGGCUGGAAGGAUUCUGAGAGAUCACUUAGUCGUUCACAGAUGGCCUCAGUCAGUAAGUCUUCUAAUGUUAGAGGGGACACUGAUACAACAUUAUGGAAUACUUUGAUAUAUUUAUUUAUUUACCUUCCUAAAACUAAACCUCAUAAAAUGAUGUUUCAACUUCAAAUAUCAAUAAACCUUAAGCCUAGAUAGGCUAAAAACUAACUGCAAGCAUAAUUCAUAACAUUUAUAGAAUGUCUAUUUGGUCUCAAGAAAAAUAAGCAUCCUAUAGGAAAAAUGUAAGGGUUACUGGUUUUCAGAAAUAAAAGGAUGUUUUUCAGGAGAAUACUGGAAGGAUCUAUAUUAGGACGACCUACCUGUUUGCCAGUUUCUUUAAAGCUGUCAGCUCAAGGCUACUGACAUGGCUUUUGCUUCCUUCCUGUAAAUUUUGUUCCUGAAAACCUGAGACAAAUUCACUUGAUAUUUUUGACAACUGGGACCUUAAAAUGAUCAAAAUGAGCCUAAGUCUGAACUGAAAACCAAAGUAGUCAGUUUUUAUAAGUACUUGACCCUUUUUUAAUCAGAAAGUGACUCCAGUCUACUGUCCCCAAAUUGCUGCUCCCCAUUCCUUCCCUGCAUCCCUCACUUCCACUACAGCUGCAGCCAGCCCAGUCUGUCCCUCUUACAGAGACAUGGCUUUGUCUUUGCUAACAUGAAGGUAUAACCUGCCACAGGAUACCAACGCGUGGGCCAUUUCAAACUCUCCACUUUGCAGCUGAAUUUUAUACCAAUAAUGCUGCAAUGACAUCUCGGAUUCUAAAAGUCUGCUUCACUGUCAUCUUUUUUUUCCCCAAGAAAGAGUCUCCCUCUGUCAUCCAGGCUGUACAGUGCAGUGGUGUGAUCAAGCUCACUGUAACCUCAAACUCCUGACCUAGUGAUCCACC